rnacentral:sRNA from 1 species
GCCGGGUGCGGUGGCUCACACCUGUAAUCCCAGCACUUUGGGAGGCUGAGGUGGGUGGAUCACCUGAGGUCAGGAGUUUGAGACCAGCCUGGCCAACAUGGUGAAACCCCGUCUCUA